UUUCUAGGUGAGAGGUGAGAAAGGUCUGAACACGUGCAGGGGGCAUGGGUGAAAAGAUCAGGAGAUGGGGGUAGGGGUGAAGAUUUCCACACUAGACACAGUACAAAAUUAACUCAUUUAUUUUGGUCUAGAUCAGGAAAAAGCCAAAGAAGCCCAAGACCUCUGUCAGCAUCUCUGACUACCAUCAUCUCCAGUACCAGGGGACGCUGUGGCAAGCACAGACUCGGAGGGAAGAGAAUGCAACAUUUUGGGCUGCACCGCUCCAACUCCUUCUUGCAAGCCCAGGAACAACACUGUGUUUGUCAGUGUCCUUCAGGCAGAAGGAUGGGAUAUGCCAGCCACGGCCAUUGGGAAGAGGAAUUAUGAAAUCCAAUGCAAUUAUACAAUGAGUGAUUGGAAGUUUUAUUCUACCAGGUACAAGCAUGUGAGAAGUAAGGAUUUUUGUGCAUGACAUCUUUUAUUGUAGCAAUGGAUGGGUAAACGCUGGUAUGCCAGAUGUUGGCGCUGGGAGGUGUAGAGGGAAAUUCACCAAGGACAAAGGAAGUUCUACUGGUCGGGGAAAACAAGGUAAGCAUGUGCGACGUUUUCAGCUAUAUCUUACCACUUCCUACAAUUCAGAAGUUGAUGAAAUAAGAAAUCUUUCGGGAUAGAAAUGGGGCACCCUAAAUACAUUCUUUGCUAAUGCCAGAGAGGCUGUAUUGCAGCCAGCCAGCCAGCCAGCAGCAGCCAUCACCAAUCCCUGGGCUGGGCAUUAUUUUAAGUAUUGAUCAGUACUUGUCACAAUCUUCCUGUGUGCACAUGGUCACUAACUGAGCCACUGGUAUCAAUCAGAUACAUAAUUAGUAUUCUGUUAUAGGAUACUAGAGCCUUUUUUAAAGUAUCUGUGUAACUACUAUUGGCCUUUUGGUUUAAUAAAGGGACUUUAACUGAAUUAUCAUUUUCUUGCAUACAACCUGACCCAGAAAAUAAUUCGCACCUUGUUUUUGAAAGCCAAAUGAAGAAAUAAAUACCCUUCCUUGCACCUAAAUAGCAGCAGCUAAGGAGCCAAGCCUUUUCAUUGCUCUGCUCCCUGUGCAGCAGAAGCUGUUUGUACGGUAUUACCCACAUGUACUGCGCACUCCAAUCCCAGCAGCAGGCUUUGGGGAAAAGGUGCAUAUGUAUGCAAGAAAAUACGGUAUGACCCAGUCAGCUGAAUUCCAACAGACUUCCGUUGGAGGCAACUAUGUGGAGGCAGGUUUUCUUGCAUUCAGAUUGGGACGUGGUCAGUUCCUGGCCCACUUCAGUAAUGAGUCCUAGAACCAAGCAUACCCUUUGCCCUACUCCCCACAGUCUCCUUCCAGUCGCAAUCCAAUUUACCUGGUUGCUGGGGUCCUUGGCCAUGUGUUUUCUUAUAAUUUUUGAUGCUUUAUCAAACUCUUUCUUUUUAAUGCAAAUGAUGAUAGCCUGCAGAAGGAAAACAUGAGUUUUUCUAUUGGCGUUCAUUCAAGGACAUCCCUCAAAUUAGCUUCACAAGCAUAAUCCAAGCUAGGCAUGACAGCCAGUCACUCACUAACCAAGCAACAUGGAAAUACACUCUUUGCAUUAAAUUCAUGAACAAGCUGCUCACCCAGUCAUGUCAUAUCACCCGACUACUCUGCUACUACGUGGUUAUGUUUUUAAGGACUGCAGUACCCAGUUAUUCUGGGUACAAUGCCAUGCCAUUGCUAUCCUGUAUUUUGCUGAACAUCCCAGCAGUCUGAAAACCUAUCUUUCCUUGUUAGGCUGCCUUGGCUUUUUUAAUUUUAGAACAAAUGGUCUUCUACAGAGCCACACCUUACAUAGCACCUAAAUAUGACACCAAGCAGCUAAUACCCUCACCCCUACCCCCAAGAGCUCACAAGUGAAGGCAAGCCCUAUGUAGAAUUUGGUGGGGCCUGGGGAACGUGCCAAAGGCAUGUGGCUAUUUUGAGGCGGCUUCACACGCAUCUUGUAGCCCCUGGUUUAUCUGCUGAAUAUAUGCAGCAAGCUUUAUAAACACAAGAGUCACAUUUUAAGUAUAUCAUAUACCCAAAAACUUUUUCCCAUACUACUGAAAAGUAGACAUUGGCUUGUGCAGGGUGGGGGUGUCCAAUUAAAAACCAAAGUUUUGUGAGGCAUUCUACAUUGCCAAAACACUCCAAAAGAAAGAAGGCAAUGAAGAGGAAUGAUGAACCAGUUCCAAUAUAUUGGGAAAUGUUUUUAAAUCUUCAUGACAGAGAACUGGUAAAAUGCAAGGAAACUGGCUAUUUUUUCAGGGCAUUAGAUCCUCACUUGUUAAUACCAGUAUUUUCCUAGAGGUGUUCAGCAAGAGCAGGGGCACAGGCAAAGUGAGAGAACAGACAACGGCCCUCAAUGUAAGAGGAGCCAUUUUAUAUACUUUUUGGAUUAAAGUAUAUAGAAUGCUGAAAUACUUUAAUUUAAAAGGAGAACCUGGGCCUUACAGCUUCCUUCACUGUUUUCUUCACAGGUUCCAUCUUUGGGUCAGGCACAGGGAAUUCUUUCUUGAUAAGCUCCAGUACACCCAUCGCAGAUUCAAGAGGAGUGAGUUCUGAUUCUCUAUCAAAGGUGCAAUCUAUAACACAAAGGAAUAAUUCAUUCCCACUAGUUUUAUAACACCCAAGUACAAAUCCUUCAUAGGGUAGAAAAGCAAGCAAAUUGGGAUCUGUUCAGUUUGGCUGUAUGUGCUGCAAUAACCAAUAUUGCAGAAAACAAAGAACAGCAGACAAAGAUCAGGAACAGACAGUUUAAUCAUCAGAAAGGCUUGACAGGUGCACAAGCUCCUCAGAAACAUGAAUUCUGGAGUUUGAAAGAGGUUGGAAAAAAAAAGACAACAUGGUAAACAUAAAGCUGUUAACUUCACUCUAAAUUACAGACAUCUCAUGGAGAAAACCAGGAAUGAAUGGAGCAAGCAAAUAAAUACGCUAGCAGAAUGGUGCAGGGUUGGCUGUAUCCGUGUUGGUCUAAGGACAUAGACAGGCAAGGUUCUUUGGGUAGAUGUGGUAUCUUUUAUUAGACCAACUGAGUAGUUGGAACAAAGUUUUGUCACACCUUUAGCUUCUUUCACUCCUUGGAGAUCUCAGAACUACAACAGUCUCCCUAUGCCUGAAGAAGGGUACUUGUUCCCCAAAAGCUUUCAAAAAACUUUGUUCCAGCUACUCAAUUGGUCUAAUAAAAGAUGUCACAUCAACCCAAAAAGCCUUGCCUAGCAGAAUGGUGCAAGAGUGAUGUACCUGUGAUGGUCCAGAAAUUGGGUGAGAAACAAGGAUUUUUUAGGAUGAUAUCUUUUAUUGAACCAACUACACAGUUGGGGUAAAGUUAGAUAAGCUUUCCAAUGCAAGACAUUCUUCGGUAGGUCUCUGAUCGCAGGAAGCUGGGUACAGCAAAAUGAAACACGGCAGAGAGCAGGAGUUGAGAGAUACUCUCAAGGAUAGCAGACAGAGUUAGCAGAAGAAAAGAGGAUUACUGGAAGAUCAAGGCCCAUCAAAAGGAAGGAGGCACAUUUCCACCUUUCUUGCGUGGAAAGAAUUCAGGAGCUAAAUAAAAUAUAAAUGGGCCAUAAACAUGAUAACAAUGUUUAGUUCACCUUUUAAAAGUGUUAGAUUUUCCUGGAGCACAAGGAUAGUGUGGUCAGAGAGGGAGCAGUUGUUCUGACUAAUGUGCUCCUAACGGUGUGUGUACAUCUCUGCCCUAUAUGUUUUUUUCUAUGACAGGUCAUUACAGUGCAUAGUUCCUGUUUAGUUUCAGCCACGUAGCUGCCUCGAGGGCAACUUGGUACAUCGGAUCAGAUAAAUCACAUUUUGGGAACGGUAUGUGUAGGAACCAUGGAUUCUGAUAGUUUAUUUAUGGGGGAGGGGGGGAGCAGUGGUUCCCAAUCCGUGGUAGGGGUACCACCAGUGGUACGCAGACAACCUGUCAGUGGUACGUGUUAAUAGAUGUAUUAUAAUUGCUUUAUAUAACAGAAAUUUGCUGGUGAUACUUAAGGUUGAACUGAAAAAUUUGCUGGUAGUACUUCAGGUUGUAUUGUUUUAAAUUGGUGGUGCCAAUCUGUCAGAGUUUGGGAACCGCUGGGGAGGAGGAUGUUGAUAGUGGCCACAGAGAUGUGCUGACAAGUUAAGCAUUUCUUCCGAAGGCAAGGUUGUGUUUCACUCGAUGUCUGUUGGGCAGUGAAGUUUGCUUCUGACGAGCUGCACAGUUUACAUUUACAGGGAACUACAACGUUAAUUUUUUUUCCCAAAACAUCAAAGGAAAAUCAAACCUGAUCUUUAUGUCUUGCUCAUAUAAAACUUCAUCCAACACCCAUAAAACUUGCUGCUUUACUUACUUUUUAAUAUAUGUUAAAAGAUUUCUUUUAAACCCAUUCAACUUGAGGUAGCUCCACACAACCCUUGUAUUCAUUUUUUUUUUUUAUCACCAGCCAAAAAAGCAGAGGAUGAAAACAACGCCCUAUAAGCUGCAUAUGGAAAAAAGCAGAAAUAACCAUGUCCCAGGAGACAAAAAAAAUAAAGGUAGAAAAGGCUGCA